rnacentral:rRNA from 1 species
GGAGCGAAUCUCAAAAAGCCGGUCUCAGUUCGGAUUGGGGUCUGCAACUCGACCCCAUGAAGUCGGAGUUGCUAGUAAUCGCAGAUCAGCAUUGCUGCGGUGAAUACGUUCCCGGGCCUUGUACACACCGCCCGUCACGUCACGAAAGUCGGUAACACCCGAAGCCGGUGGCCCAACCCCUUGUGGGAGGGAGCUGUCGAAGGUGGGACCAGCGAUUGGGACGAAGUCGUAACAAGGUAGCCGUACCGGAAGGUGCGGCUGGAUCACCUCCUUUCUAAGGAG